CUCAGAAACUACAAAGGAAGUUGACGGGGCCCGGCACAAGCGGUGGAGCAUGUGGUUUAAUUCGAAGCAACGCGCAGAACCUUACCAGCCCUUGACAUGGACGUCGCGACCCUGGAGACGGGGUUUUCGGUUCGGCCGGACGUCACACAGGUGCUGCAUGGCUUUGCGUCAGCUCGUGUCGUGAGAUGUUGGGUUAGGUCCCGCAACGAGCGCAACCCUCAUCCUUAGUUGCCAUCAGUUCGGCUGGGCACUCUAGGGAAACUGCCGGUGAUAAGCCGGAGGAAGGUGGGGAUGACGUCAAGUCCUCAUGGCCCUUAUGGGCUGGGCUACACACGUGCUACAAUGGCGACUACAGUGGGCAGCGACAUCGCGAGGUGAAGCUAAUCUCAAAAAGUCGUCUCAGUUCGGAUUGUACUCUGCAACUCGAGUGCAUGAAGUCGGAAUCGCUAGUAAUCGCGGAACAGCAUGCCGCGGUGAAUACGUUCCCGGGCCUU
rnacentral:rRNA from 1 species